rnacentral:lncRNA from 1 species
UUGAAUAAAAACAGUCCUUAUCCUCUUCUCAUAUGAGCUGAGUUACUGAGUUAUAGCUACGCUCUAAACCUUAUUGUGAUAGAUUUUUUUGUGGAUGUAAUUUUUUACUGGCUUCGCCAAUAUCUCUAAUGGUAUAAUUAAGUUUUAAAUGUGUAGUAGGAGUCCUAAGGACUUUCUGUGCGAGAAUUCUUCAGUUCUUUCCCAAUAAUUGAUAUAGAGUUGCACAAGAUGUAUCCCGAGUUCAUAAAUCUCUUCAAAAAUACAUGCUAUAGUGGUUUAGAAAAUUAAAGUCGAACUGAUGAAUCUAUUCAAAAGAUGCACAAUGAAUAAAUUAAAAUUCUAGAUUAAAAUUUUUCUCAAAGGUUCUUGUGAUGGAAAAAUUCCAAGAACGGUAAGUCUAGAACUAAGUGGUUUGUGGAGAAUAUGUUCAAUUUUUGGUAGAAUUUUUUUCUCUAAAUGGUGAAAAAGUUGAGAAUGGUCGGUCAAUAAUUAGUUUUGUGUUGAUUGAAGUAAAGCUUUCGGGAAAGUCAAGCUCUUGAGGAAGAUUGUUAGGUCUUAUUUACAAGUGAAGUCUCACAUUGGAGAAGUAGAGAAUGGACAGCAAAAAGACAUUGCCUAGCACAUGGGCG